AAAGCCUGAUGCAGCUAUGCCGCGUGUAUGAAGAAGGCCUUAGGGUUGUAAAGUACUUUCAACAAGAAAGAAAAAAUAAAAUCUAAUACAUUUUAUCAUUGACGUUACUUGUAAAAGAAGCACCGGCUAACUCCGUGCCAGCAGCCGCGGUAAUACGGAGGGUGCGAGCGUUAAUCGGAAUUACUGGGCGUAAAGAGCACGUAGGCUGUUAAUUAAGUCAGAUGUGAAAUCCCUAAGCUUAACUUAGGAACUGCAUUUGAAACUGAUUAACUUGAGUUUCGUAGAGGGGGGUAGAAUUCCAGGUGUAGCGGUGAAAUGCGUAGAUAUCUGGAGGAAUACCAGUGGCGAAGGCGACCCCCUGGACGAAUACUGACGCUCAGGUGCGAAAGCAUGGGGAGCAAACAGGAUUAGAUACCCUGGUAGUCCAUGCUGUAAACAAUGUCGACUUGAAGGUUGUAAGCUUGACUUAUAGCUUUCGUAGCUAACGCGUUAAGUCGACCGCCUGGGGAGUACGACCGCAAGGUUAAAACUCAAAUGAAUUGACGGGGGCCCGCACAAGCGGUGGAGCAUGUGGUUUAAUUCGAUGCAACGCGAAAAACCUUACCUGGUCUUGACAUCCAUGGAAUUUAAUAGAGAUAUUUUAGUGCCUUCGGGAACCAUGAGACAGGUGCUGCAUGGCUGUCGUCAGCUCGUGUUGUGAAAUGUUGGGUUAAGUCCCGCAACGAGCGCAACCCUUAUCCUUUGUUGCCAUCAGUUCGGCUGGGAACUCAAAGGAGACUGCCGGUGAUAAACCGGAGGAAGGUGAGGACGACGUCAAGUCAUCAUGGCCCUUACGACCAGGGCUACACACGUGCUACAAUGGUAUAUACAAAGGGAAGCAUCCUCGUAAGAGUAAGCGAAUCUCACAAAAUAUAUCUUAGUUCGGAUUGGAGUCUGCAACUCGACUCUAUGAAGUCGGAAUCGCUAGUAAUCGUAGAUCAGAAUGCUACGGUGAAUACGUUCCCGGGCCUUGUACACACCGCCCGUCACACCAUGGAAGUGGGUUGUAAAAGAAGUAAGUUGCUUAACCUUUAUUUUUUUAAGGAGGG
rnacentral:rRNA from 1 species